CGCGUAGGUAAUCUAUCCUUGUAUUUGGGAUAACAUCGGGAAAUUGAUGCUAAUACCAAAUGGUCUUCAUUUCUGUUAGGGAGAUGGAGUAAAGGUGGCCUCUUCAUGAAAGCUACCGUAUAGGGAUGAGCCUGCGUACCAUUAGCUAGUAGGUGGGGUAAUGGCCCACCUAGGCUACGAUGGUUAGCGGGUCUGAGAGGAUGAUCCGCCACACUGGAACUGAAACACGGACCAG
rnacentral:rRNA from 1 species